UACGUAGGGAGCAAGCGUUGUCCGGAAUCAUUGGGCGUAAAGCGCGCGUAGGUGGCUCCAUAAGUCCGUUGCGAAAGUCAAAGGCUCAACCUUUGAAAGCCGAUGGAUACUGUGGAGCUAGAGUACGGAAGAGGCGAGUGGAAUUCCUGGUGUAGCGGUGGAAUGCGCAGAUAUCAGGAGGAACACCAAUAGCGAAGGCAGCUCGCUGGGACGUUACUGACACUGAGGCGCGAAAGCGUGGGGAGCGAACAGG
rnacentral:rRNA from 1 species